CAGCAGCCACGGUAAUACGUAGGGUGCAGGCGUUAAUCGGAAUUACUGGGCGUAAAGCGUGCGCAGGCGGUUUGUUAAGGCAGAUGUGAAAUCCCCGGGCUCAACCUGGGAACUGCAUUUGUGACUGGCAAGCUAGAGUGUGGCAGAGGGGGGUGGAAUUCCGCGUGUAGCAGUGAAAUGCGUAGAUAUGCGGAGGAACACCGAUGGCGGAGGCAGCCCCCUGGGACAACACUGACGCUGAGGCACGAAAGCGUGGGGAGCAAACAGGAUUAGAUACCCCCGUAGUCCCUGUCUCUUAUAC
rnacentral:rRNA from 1 species